UUGAAGCAAAGACUGGAUGAUGAAAAGGGAACUCUUCUCCCACUGCAAGAAAUAAAAUUGAAGAAAUGAGGGAUAAAAAAGGCAAUGUUUUGAUCUUGAUACGUAUUGACCAGGAGGUUGUUCUAGCUGAAGAAUACACGAAAUUGUUGGAUAAUCCAUCUUGUUUAAACGCUGCCUCGCUAUUAUGAACAGGACUUCUGGGAUUCCACUUUUGUUUCUUCUCUGAAAUAAUUCAAAGGGGAAAACCAUAGGCUCAUAGGAAAUGAAGAAUUGGCUGAAGGAAUACUCAUUUUUCCUUGUCUCUA
rnacentral:lncRNA from 1 species